rnacentral:rRNA from 1 species
AUACGGAGGAUCCGAGCGUUAUCCGGAUUUAUUAGGUUUAAAGGGUGCGCAGGCGGAACUGUAAGUCACCGGUGAAAUCCUACAGCUUAACUGUAGAACUGCCGGUGAUACUGCGAUUCUUGAGUAUAGUUGAGGUAGGCGGAAUGUGUAGUGUAGCGGUGAAAUGCAUAGAUAUUACACAGAACACCGAUUGCGAAGGCAGCUUACUAAACUAUUACUGACGCUCAUGCACGAAAGCGUGGGGAGCGAACAGGAUUAGAAACCCCAGUAGUCC